UACGUAGGGGGCGAGCGUUGUCCGGAUUUAUUGGGCGUAAAGAGCGCGUAGGCGGCCAGGUAGGUCCGACGUGAAAUCUCGAGGCUCAACCUCGAGCGGUCGUUGGAUACCGCCUGGCUAGAGUCCGGAAGAGGAGAGUGGAAUUCCUGGUGUAGCGGUGAAAUGCGCAGAUAUCAGGAAGAACACCCAUGGCGAAAGCAGCUCUCUGGGACGGUACUGACGCUGAGACGCGAAAGCGUGGGGAGCGAACAGG
rnacentral:rRNA from 1 species